rnacentral:rRNA from 1 species
UACGGGGGGGGCAAGCGUUGUUCGGAAUUACUGGGCGUAAAGGGCUCGUAGGCGGCCAACUAAGUCGGAUGUGAAAUCCCCAGGCUUAACCUGGGAACUGCAUCCGAUACUGGAUGGCUUGAAUCCGGGAGAGGGAUGCAGAAUUCCAGGUGUAGCGGUGAAAUGCGUAGAUAUCUGGAGGAAUACCGGUGGCGAAGGCGGCAUCCUGGACCGGCAUUGACGCUGAUGAGCGAAAGCGAGGGGAGCAAACGGG